UACAGAGGGGGCAAGCGUUGUUCGGAAUUACUGGGCGUAAAGGGCGCGUAGGCGGCCUGUUAAGUCGAACGUGAAAUCCCCGGGCUCAACCCGGGAACUGCGUCCGAUACUGGCAGGCUUGAAUCCGGGAGAGGGAUGCGGAAUUCCAGGUGUAGCGGUGAAAUGCGUAGAUAUCGUUUGGAACGCCAAUGGAGAAAUCAGGUUGCUGGGAGUGUGCUGACGCUGAGACACGAAAGCCAGGGGAGCGAACGGG
rnacentral:rRNA from 1 species